rnacentral:rRNA from 1 species
AGAGUUUGAUCCUGGCUCAGGACGAACGCUGGCGGCGUGCCUAAUACAUGCAAGUAGAACGCUGAAGAGAGGAGCUUGCUCUUCUUGGAUGAGUUGCGAACGGGUGAGUAACGCGUAGGUAACCUGCCUUGUAGCGGGGGAUAACUAUUGGAAACGAUAGCUAAUACCGCAUAACAAUGGAUGACACAUGUCAUUUAUUUGAAAGGGGCAAUUGCUCCACUACAAGAUGGACCUGCGUUGUAUUAGCUAGUAGGUGAGGUAACGGCUCACCUAGGCGACGAUACAUAGCCGACCUGAGAGGGUGAUCGGCCACACUGGGACUGAGACACGGCCCAGACUCCUACGGGAGGCAGCAGUAGGGAAUCUUCGGCAAUGGGGGCAACCCUGACCGAGCAACGCCGCGUGAGUGAAGAAGGUUUUCGGAUCGUAAAGCUCUGUUGUAAGUCAAGAACGAGUGUGAGAGUGGAAAGUUCACACUGUGACGGUAGCUUACCAGAAAGGGACGGCUAACUACGUGCCAGCAGCCGCGGUAAUACGUAGGUCCCGAGCGUUGUCCGGAUUUAUUGGGCGUAAAGCGAGCGCAGGCGGUUUGAUAAGUCUGAAGUUAAAGGCUGUGGCUCAACCAUAGUUCGCUUUGGAAACUGUCAAACUUGAGUGCAGAAGGGGAGAGUGGAAUUCCAUGUGUAGCGGUGAAAUGCGUAGAUAUAUGGAGGAACACCGGUGGCGAAAGCGGCUCUCUGGUCUGUAACUGACGCUGAGGCUCGAAAGCGUGGGGAGCGAACAGGAUUAGAUACCCUGGUAGUCCACGCCGUAAACGAUGAGUGCUAGGUGUUGGAUCCUUUCCGGGAUUCAGUGCCGCAGCUAACGCAUUAAGCACUCCGCCUGGGGAGUACGACCGCAAGGUUGAAACUCAAAGGAAUUGACGGGGGCCCGCACAAGCGGUGGAGCAUGUGGUUUAAUUCGAAGCAACGCGAAGAACCUUACCAAGUCUUGAGAUCCCAUUGACAGAGUGUGUAAUGCAUUUUCCCUUCGGGGCAAUGGUGACAGGUGGUGCAUGGUUGUCGUCAGCUCGUGUCGUGAGAUGUUGGGUUAAGUCCCGCAACGAGCGCAACCCCUAUUGUUAGUUGCCAUCAUUCAGUUGGGCACUCUAGCGAGACUGCCGGUAAUAAACCGGAGGAAGGUGGGGAUGACGUCAAAUCAUCAUGCCCCUUAUGACCUGGGCUACACACGUGCUACAAUGGUUGGUACAACGAGUUGCGAGUCGGUGACGGCAAGCUAAUCUCUUAAAGCCAAUCUCAGUUCGGAUUGUAGGCUGCAACUCGCCUACAUGAAGUCGGAAUCGCUAGUAAUCGCGGAUCAGCACGCCGCGGUGAAUACGUUCCCGGGCCUUGUACACACCGCCCGUCACACCACGAGAGUUUGUAACACCCGAAGUCGGUGAGGUAACCUUUUGGAGCCAGCCGCCUAAGGUGGGAUAGAUGAUUGGGGUGAAGUCGUAACAAGGUAGCCGUAUCGGAAGGUGCGGCUG